AGUGAAACUGUUGGUCUCCGAGGCAGCACUACUCCUCUUCCCUUUGCAAGCGGGGAAGAGGACAGAGCAAACACGGGCAGCCUUCUUGAAGGCUUGCCUUUAGCCCUGCCUGCCUGAAGUCCUCUGACUCUUCCUGCUGACGUCUCUACCGGACAGGCAGGCAAAGAAACCCCGCCCUAGCAGCUCCGCCCUGUGCUGGAGGGGCCAUUAACGGAAUCUUGUGUACACUGAAAAAGGUCUUCACUAUUUUUAGGGGCUGACAGUUUUAUAAAUAAGUCAGCAAGGGCUUUUCCACCUUACCUUAAUCUGCUAUGAGUUGCUGGUUUGAGCUCAAGUGGUGACAAUUCAAAGAAGAACAUUCAUGGGGCUAUGUUUUCAACAGAACUGGUGAAACCAUAUCCACACAGGCUAUGGAAGCAGACUCAGCAGACUUGCUGUUCAAAAGACCAUUCCUAAGGAUUUUUAAGAAUUUUUUUUCUGUUGAAAAAAAAAAAACCUGUAUUUCCAAUCUCAUCUGCAUGUACUGCCACAACAUACUGGAUGUAAAUAAAUUUAAAGAGAUUGUGGACGGUAAGGUCUUGUGGAAGGAUCUACUUCAUGGAUGGCAUCUGCUACUGUGCACAUUCAUUCAUUCAUUGAUGUUAAACAUGUUCUUCACAACCCAGAAUUCAGAGCAGGUGAGAAGAGUAAGGAGGAUUCCAUCCAAUUUGAUUUGAACAAUGAACUACACUACACCAUUGAUGAUGAAGACUAUCAAAUUGCGUAGUCUCUACAGGACAUCCCCUUUAGGUUUUUAGUGGGACCAGAGGUUAUAUCGAUUACUUGUGAACUCUUUAUAUGUGAGGCGUCUAAGGAAUGAAGAGACAGCCUUUAUUCUACCAUCUACUUCCUAUUUCAGAGGGUCGAUUGAAGAUUGCCCAAUCUGGAGAGAUCUAUAUAGGGAAAAGAGGACACUUUAUGGAUGAAUCAAUAGACACAGAUAGAGUAAGUAAUUUGAAGAUUUGACCUCCUCUCCACAGCGACAAAAGGUCAUCUGUUACCACUACUUGAAUACCCUCUGGCAUUGGUGGGUUAGAAGUUUAAUUGCUGCAAGAAGUUCAGAAUAUUGGGAAAUGGUAUUCUCUUGACUCUCAGUGCUAUGUACAUCAGAAGAGGGAGUUGGAUCCAUUAAAAACACUCUUUGACCCAAAAGAAUUGUGAACUGUUUUGUGGAGAGAGACCCUUUCCUGAAGAGGCCACACACACCAAUGUUUCAAGUCUUUGGCCUGCUGAGACAGAUUUUUGAAAAAUUAUGUUUGUAUCUCAUCCCAGAAAAAUAAUAAGAUAAGAUAAUGGCUAAAAUCCUAUUGCUUAACAUCAUACAUUGCAACUUGUGUAGGGCCAUUAAAUCAGUGGGGAUUUGGUGAAUCAGUUCCUAUGUAUGUUCCAUUGAUGCAAAUAGGCUUAGUCUAAUUGCAACUUACUACAUCAAAGCAAGUGAUAAUUAGAGUAGGUUUAUUUAGUGAAUAAACUUACAGGGUAGUUUAUUCA
rnacentral:lncRNA from 1 species